ensembl:lncRNA
GAGAAUGUGACUGAAGGUUUUUCUUGUGGACCGGGGUUAUGUUUUCAGGAACCACAGACCUAAAAAGACCAGGACCUGGUGCCAGUAGAGGGCGUUGUAGCUCCUACUGUAAGGCCACUAGAAACAAAAUCUAGGUCCUGGUGCAUGCAAAUGCUGUUUGCUGUGACCAGCUUAAAUAUUAGAAACUAGAGUCAUGUCUCAUCUACGGGCACUGUGGCAUUGCAUUUGGAUUUAAUAUUUGCUGUAAUACCUCAUCUGUCAUGCGUUUUCAUUAUCAGCGAUGAGUGAGACAGUGGUUCCAACAGGCAAGAACCCAAAAGCCAAACAAUGUGAUGGUCUUGUUGCAAAACUCGAUGGUGUUUUCUUGUUUUGACUAUGUAUUAAACAUGUGCGUCUGUCCUUGUAUUGAAGCCCAUCUCCUCCGUAUGGGGCCAGAGGAUCAAACAGUUUGACAUUCUUGACUGCCUCUUUGUUUUUUUGUGGGUUUUUUUUAUCUGCAAAAGUGUAGUUAUGCUACUUUAAUGACAUGUGGUGCAUUAAUGUGUGUCCGUGUGCAUGCGUAUGCAUGUGUUUGCUCGUGCAGAGCUGUAUGGUAAUGUGGUUUUUUGGGUUGCAAUGCGCCCCCCCCUCCUCUCUGCUGCUCUGAAACAAAACAGCUGCCUAGGCUGCUUCGCCUCCAGCUGCUUCCAAAUUGUCCUGCCAUUAAGCUAUUAUAUGUUUACAACCACAGCACUGAGUAGGCCCGCUAGGUGCUAGAAGUCCCGAUGAUCUUCCUCUGUUGUAAUGGAUCAUUAUCCUGGUUCCUUUUUUACACAGCUUUCACCAUGCUGCAAUUAGCUGUUACACAAUUAGGCACACCACCUUAACUGUGCUGUAAAGGUGUCAGGCAAGGCUCUGUACUGUACUGAUGGCCCGAAUAUGUCACUUUGGCACAGAUGCACAAGAAACCAGAAUAAUCCAUUAUAUAUGUAAGAGUUUUAUAGUUGACACCGUGCUAAAUUUUCAACUUGUGCCAACAUGCAAAGGAGUUAUGCACCAGUCCAUCUGAAUUAUUUCCCCUGAUACUGUGGAUCUAUUAUUUGAUGCAAACAAGAUUCUUGCUCUCUAGCAUAAGGUUGAACUCUCAUUUAUUCUUCAUGUCAGGCUUCUAGAGUUGUGGGAGAGUGCCUAUUCAGAGGCGAGAAGCAUGAACACAUUGAUCUUAUUUGGACAGGCUUUUGUCUGGGACAUAUCCAAACCCAAACAGCCAGAGGAAGGACCACAACAGGGUCCCGGGCAAAUUCACACAUGUUGGGUUGCAUGGUGCAAGCUUUUGUAAAAGACAUUUCAAGAUAAAGGAGGAGUUCAAGAGAAUAACCACUGUAAGCCUUGAAUGGCUACACUUGACAAUUGCACCCCAAAACUGAUG